rnacentral:misc_RNA from 1 species
AGUCGUAACAAGUUUACGUGAGGUGAACUGCGGAAGGAUCCAAUUGAAUGAGAUGGCAGUGCCCUUCGGGGUAGACCUCCCACCCCCUGUUUACCGUACCCGUUGCUUUGGCGGUCCCGUCGCAAGACGGGCCGCCAGAGGACCUUUAAAACCCGUAUUAUCAUUGUCGUCUGAGUACUAUACAAUAGUUAAAA